AUUUAAUCUUCUGCCAAUGUUAGUACUGCUAAGUCGAAACAUUGUGUAAGCACGAUUCCACUGAAGGUCUUGUAAUUUGGUUCUUGGACCUCGUAUAAACACAGGUGAGGCAAUCAAUCUUUACCAACACUUACUGUAAAACAUUAAAUGGAUUAUUUAUGAAAACAGCUACAGGUAUGCACGUAAAAACUGAGCUUUCAUUUCUUCAUAUACAGUAUCUGUAGU